GCUCGGUUAGGCAAGUGGUUAAGCCAUAUGUCUUUCUAACAUAUAUCAAGAGUUCGAUUCUCUUACCGAGUACCA
rnacentral:tRNA from 1 species